CGAGGCUCCUGGAAGGGUGAAGUCCACUCGGUGCUUUUUACAUCUGGGGAUUUAGGCUAUUCAGAGCCAGCACACCAGGUUUUCUGCAUCCAGGAACUUGGGGGACUCAGAACCCUUUUGUGAGGGUCCUAGAAGAGGAAAGUAAAACUGUACAGUGUGUGGUAUCUCCAAAGCAGCAGUGGAACCACCUGAGAUUACCAGAGGGAGGUGUCCAUUAUCUGCCAGCAAUCCAGGCAUUAAUCUAAAGGAGCUGAAGGACCUAUUAAUAACAGCUUGACUCAAGUCAUCAGAGGCGGUGUCAGGUACAUCAGUACGAAGG